rnacentral:tRNA from 1 species
UGGACGACUAACUCAGCGGGAGAGUGCUACCUUCACACGGUAGAAGUCACUGGUUCAAUCCCAGUGUCGUCCAAC